rnacentral:rRNA from 1 species
AAUGAACGUUGGCGGCGUGGAUUAGGCAUGCAAGUCGAGCGCGAAACGUAGCAAUACGUGGAAAGCGGCGAAAGGGAGAGUAAUACAUAGGUACGUACCCUUGGACCUGGGAUAGCGGCGGGAAACUGCCGGUAAUACCAGAUAAUGUCUCCGGACCAAAGGUAUGAUUCCGUCUGAGGAGCGGCCUAUGUCCUAUUAGCUAGUUGGUAAGGUAACGGCUUACCAAGGCAAAGAUGGGUAUGGGGUGUGAGAGCAUGCCCCCACUCACUGGGACUGAGACACUGCCCAGACACCUACGGGUGGCUGCAGUCGAGAAUCUUCGGCAAUGGACGCAAGUCUGACCGAGCGACGCCGCGUGCGGGAUGAAGGCCUUCGGGUUGUAAACCGCUGUCGUAGGGGAGGAAAUGCAGGUGGGUACUCCCAUCUGCUUGACUGAUCCUAGGAGGAAGGACCGGCUAAUCUCGUGCCAGCAGCCGCGGUAA